rnacentral:tRNA from 1 species
GCUCCCGUAGUUUAAUGGAUAGAAUUACGGAUUCCGGUUCCGUCGGUUGCGGUUCGAUUCCGCACGGGAGUA